CCUACGGGUGACAGCAGUGAGGAAUAUUGGUCAAUGGACGAGAGUCUGAACCAGCCAAGUAGCGUGAAGGAUGACUGCCCUAUGGGUUGUAAACUUCUUUUAUAUGGGAAUAAAAUGUUCCACGUGUGGGAUUUUGUAUGUACCAUAUGAAUAAGGAUCGGCUAACUCCGUGCCAGCAGCCGCGGUAAUACGGAGGAUCCGAGCGUUAUCCGGAUUUAUUGGGUUUAAAGGGAGCGUAGGUGGAUUGUUAAGUCAGUUGUGAAAGUUUGCGGCUCAACCGUAAAAUUGCAGUUGAAACUGGCAGUCUUGAGUACAGUAGAGGUGGGCGGAAUUCGUGGGGUAGCGGUGAAAUGCUUAGAUAUCACGAAGAACUCCGAUUGCGAAGGCAGUUCACUGGACUGCAACUGACACUGAGGCUCGAAAGUGUGGGUAUCAAACAGGAUUAGAUACCCCUGUAGUC
rnacentral:rRNA from 1 species